AGAGCCCGACAUGGGGCUCGAACCCACGAACCGUGAGAUCAUGACCUUAGUCAAAGUCAGACGCUUAACCGACUGAGCCACCCAAGCGCCCCUCACUGCUCAGUUUUUAAUCUGUAAAAUUGGGGUAAUAAAGGUACCUCCUUCCAAUAAACAUUUUUGUAAAGAUUAAGUGGCUAAAUGUAUUUAAAGCCCAAGAACUAGGUCUUACACAUGUUAGCUGCUACUUUUAUUAUUUAUUACUUAUAAGCAAAUAUGCCACCCUGGGUCCUCUAUACUCUACGAGAGGUAUUGGCUCUGUUCUCUGAAGGGUUUGUGCUGAUUCAUUGCCCUUUUUCAUCCCAAAACAUUUGUGAGGAAACUAGGUUUAAUUUGGGUUAUUGUCUGUGACUGGGAAGCAGAGUAUAAAGUUACUGGUAACAUUUGAGGGUGGAUCAUGUCAGGCCUUAACAGGUUCCCUUGUGUUUCUCCUUAUAGUUGACCCCUGUCUGUAGGUUCUGGUCGUGAAGGAGUCACCUCACAAAUAAUCUGUCUUGACUCUACCUUUGUGUAAGCCCUCAUCUCUGUGGUGUAAUCUUCCUGCUCCUGGUUAUCUCACUCUAGGUCUUGCCAGAACCUCCUCUUAGCCUCCCCUCCUAGCCCUACCUCUUCCCCAAUACUAAUUAGGUGACUCAGGCUCUGAUACUGAUCACUGAAUUCCCAAAUUCCUCUUGCCUCCAUGCUUGACAUUCCGAGCAUUUGUUCUCCUAAGUUUUACUUCCGCUGAGCCUGUCCUAACCUCUGGACACUUUUCUACCUCCUGCCUUUUUUGCCUACUGUUGUUGGGAUACAUUGGUCGCCAAUGACAAUGGACUUUCAACCAGUAUCUAAAGCAGCAUAUCUUCUUCACCUCCAACCUCUUCCUGGUACUGUUGCUUCAUUUAAGAGAGGGCAGAAAUGCUGUGUGUUCACCAAAACUCACCACAAGUUUCUUCUACCCCCUAAAUAUACAGCUAGGCCAUAUUUCCCAGUCUCCCUUAUAGUUAGGUUUGGUCAUGGGGCUGAAUUUUGCUUGAAGGAACGUGGGUAAAAAUUAUGUCCAAUCCUCAUGAGAUCCUCUAUGCCCUCUCUCUCCUCCGCUACCUCCUAGCAAGAUAGCAAGAUUCUAACAGAGGGAUCCAAGACUAUACAAGAAGACAGAGCCAUAGGAUGCAAGGACCCCGGAUUUCUGAGUGACCACGUGGAAGGCUGCCUAUUGACCAGGAAUUGGACUUGGUGGGCGGUGUUGCCAGAGUUUGCCUGCAAAGUGGAAUCUUUGUGAAAGAAAAAUAAAGAUUUGAUGGACAAGAUUUAUUGUGUGCAAGGACUCAACUCUGUGAACCAAGAGAACAUGGGUAUCUUCACUUAAUACAAGGGCAAACACAAGAUUGAAAGAUUUGUGCAAGCUUGCUAAAAUGAGUGACAAACGUAAGCAAAGUUUUACCUGAAGAGACGUGGAAAGAAAAAACAAUGCAACAAUGUCCUCCAUAUAUUGAGAACGUAUAAGGACGAUGGGGAAGCUGAGACAAAGAACUUUUGAGUAACUCUUCUGAGCUAGUGAGUGGCAAGACUGGGAUUUGAACUCAGGCUGUAUGGCUCCAGACUCAUCACUCUCUAUGGUAUGCUGCCUCUCCAAAAUGAUUGUUAAAGUUUCUUUUUCUUGUAUAAUGAAUUAAGACCUUUUCCACACCCAUUUAGAACUGAUUUGUCCUGCAUCCCAUCCCUCUUUCACUGGAUAAGCUUAUUCAUAAAACCUAUCAUUAAAAACCCACACCCUAAAAUGAGCAUGAUAGGCAAACAGUUUAAGGGAUUCCAAUAGCAAUUAGCUUUCCCCAAAUAGCACAUUUUUUUUUUAGCAAGGACUCAGAAAAGCCAAGGAAGUCGUGCUAAAUCACCAUGAUAUUAGUGGGCCAAGAUGUUUCUGAACAAAUGGGAUGCUCUAAGGGUACCCAUGCAAAUGGUUUCUCUCUUUGGACUACAUGAUGACUAAUGUUCCUUCCUUGCCUAUACCACCUAUCUUGGCUUAUCACUGUUUCUGGGGGACGUGGGGAGGACAUGUAACUCCCCAGGCCUCCAUGAUAUUCAUCUACAAUUCUGGGCAGCUCUUGAAGCAAGUGUGAAGGACUAAAAGGUCAAUAAAGUAAAACACAUAUAUGUAGUGACAAAGCAAGACACAACUGAUAGAAAAUAAUGCAAAGAAAUUUCAUGAAGCUCAAAUAAAUGGACAAACGAUAUAGGCAUUUGUUGGUCCUCCUUGGUGUGACAAAUGAAACAGGCAUUAACAUGGAGGACAAAGCCCAUUGUAGCUCUUUGUCAAUGAUCCGGUAGAGUACUGGCUUCUACUCCUGACCAGAGAUCACCCUUUUCUAUACAAUAAAUACUUGUAGAGUACCUACUAUGUGCUGGACACUUUCUAGACAUUGGAAUUAUGUCUUAGUUCAUUUGGGCUGCUAUAAGAAAAAUGCCAGAAGCCAAGUAUAAGCCACAAAAAUUUAUUUCUCAUGUUCCAGAGGCUAGAAAGUUGAAGAUCAAGCACUGGCUGAUUCCAUAUCUGGUGAGGUCCACUUCCUGGUUUAUGGAUGACCUUCUUUUCAUUAUAACCUCACAUGGUGGAAGGGGUGAGCUAGCUCCCAGGGUCUCUUUUGUAAGGCCACUAAUGCCAAACAUGAGGGCUCUGCCCUCAUGACCUAAUCACCUCCUGAAGGCCCCCACCUCCCACUACCAUCACCUUGAAGGUUAAGAUUUCAACAUAUGAAUGUAGGGGGGCACAAACAUUUAGUCUGUAGUGGUAUAAACAGAACUAACAAAGAUCCUUGUCCUCCCAGAGUUCAUAUUCUUUUCAUCUUUCUUUUUCAUAUUCAUUUUAAAAGGAGCCACUGUUCUUUUUGUUCGGAUGUUUCUUUAUAUUUUUAGUCCUCUUAGUGGGUAAAAUGUGGCAGAUUGCAUAAAAUAGAGCAACAAAGGUAUUAAACCACAAAUGGCCCAAAUCCCCGACCGUUAAUAGCACAGGAGACAUCUGAGAUUGCAUGAGUGUGAGGUAAGGCCCCGAGGCAUCGCAUGGGCCAACUUCUGCAUUA